AACAACAGUGAUGAGCCUCUUAUAAACACACAGACCUGUAAUGAAUGCGGACGUGAUCGCGUACAUUAUAAACAUCUAAGGGACUGAGUUGUU
rnacentral:snoRNA from 1 species